CAUUUAAACUGGAAACUGCGAACGGCUCAUUAUAUCAGUUAUAGUCCAUUUGAUAGUCUUUUUACAAGGAUACUUGUGGCAAAUCUAGAAAUAAUACUUGCAUCGAGAGGCGACUUUUUGGAAGCCUUGCAUUUGUUUGAUUUAAACCAAUACCUUUCGGGGUUACCAUGGUGAUUCAGAACAACUAAGCGAAUCGCAGAGCUUCGGCGGCGAUGAAUCAUUCGAGUUUCUGCCCCAUCAGGUGUCGAAGAUAGCGUAUUGUGCUAUCUUGCCAGUCACGGGUGACGGAGAAUCAGGGUUCGAUUCCGGAGAGGGAGCCUUAGAGACGGCUACCACAUCCAAGGAAGGCAGCAGGGGCGUAAAUUACUCAAUACCGACACGGUGAAGUAGUGACGAGAAAUAUCAUUAAGGAGCCCUUCGGGUUUUUUAAAUGAAAUGAGAGCAAUCUAAAAACCUCAUCGAGGAUCAAUUGGAGGGCAAGUCUGGUGCCAGCAGCCGCGGUAAUUCCAGCUCCAAUAGCGAAUACUAAUUCUGCUGCAGUUAAAAAGCUCGUAGUUGAACUUCUGGUAGGACAGAUCCGGCCUUUGGAUGAAUGUCCAUUGUAUGCUGUGUGUCUUGUCUGGCCAUCCUUUAUGUCUUUUAGGCGUAAUCUUUCACUGUAAAAAAAUUAGGGUGUUUCAAGCAAAAGUUAUUUGGAAUAUAUUAGUAUGGGAUGAUAAGAUAGGCUCUUGAGUGCUACUUUGUUGGUUUAUACACUUAGAGAAUGAUUAACAGGGACAGUUGGGGGUAUUCAUAUUUACAUGUCAG
rnacentral:rRNA from 1 species